AGAGUUUGAUCAUGGCUCAGGAUGAACGCUAGCGGCAGGCCUAAUACAUGCAAGUCGGACGGGAUUUCGGAGCUUGCUUCGAAUGAGAGUGGCGCACGGGUGCGUAACACGUAUGUAACCUACCUUUAUCAGGGGGGAUAGCCUCUCGAAAGAGAGAUUAAGCCCGCAUAACAUCACGAUGCAGCAUUGUAAUGUGAUCAAAUAUUUAUAGGAUAGAGAUGGGCAUGCGGAACAUUAGCUGGUUGGUAAGGUAAUGGCUUACCAAGGCUACGAUGUUUAGGGGAUCUGAGAGGAUGACCCCCCACACUGGUACUGAGACACGGACCAGACUCCUACGGGAGGCAGCAGUAAGGAAUAUUGGUCAAUGGGCGGAAGCCUGAACCAGCCAUGCCGCGUGCAGGAAGACGGCCCUACGGGUUGUAAACUGCUUUUGCAGGGGAAUAAACCCCCGUAUGUAUACGGGGCUGAAUGUACUCUGAGAAUAAGGAUCGGCUAACUCCGUGCCAGCAGCCGCGGUAAUACGGAGGAUCCAAGCGUUAUCCGGAUUUAUUGGGUUUAAAGGGUGCGUAGGCGGCUUAUUAAGUCAGGGGUGAAAGACGGUAGCUUAACUAUCGCAGUGCCUUUGAUACUGAUGAGCUUGAAUGUACUUGAGGUAGGCGGAAUGUGACAAGUAGCGGUGAAAUGCAUAGAUAUGUCACAGAACACCAAUUGCGAAGGCAGCUUACUAAAGUAUGAUUGACGCUGAGGCACGAAAGCGUGGGGAUCAAACAGGAUUAGAUACCCUAGUAGUCC
rnacentral:rRNA from 1 species